rnacentral:rRNA from 1 species
CAGUCGCCGCGGUAAAACGGAGGGAGCUAGCGUUGUUCGGAAUUACUGGGCGUAAAGCGCGCGUAGGCGGUUACUCAAGUCAGAGGUGAAAGCCCGGGGCUCAACCCCGGAACUGCCUUUGAAACUAGGUGACUAGAAUCUUGGAGAGGUCAGUGGAAUUCCGAGUGUAGAGGUGAAAUUCGUAGAUAUUUGGAAGAACACCAGUGGUGAAGGCGACUGACUGGACAAGUAUUGACGCUGAGGUGCGAAAGCGUGGGGAGCAAACAGGAUUAGAUACCCGCGUAGUCCCUGUCUCUUAUAC